CGUCCCGCAAGUCCGUUUCUCUACAUCUGAGAAGGAAGGUGGGAAGUCAUUUGUUCUUAAUUUCAGGUCAGAGCGGCUCGAGGGUCAUGGAGGGUUCUACGUCGGGCAGAACAUGACGUCUUCCCCCUUCAGCCGUCUGGAUGAAAUGUCAGAAGAAGCUGGUAGCGUUUGGGCUACUGGCCCCCACCACCAAGGUCAUCCCCCGCUGCUUGCCUUGCUGUUGGGACGGUGCUGGUGUCACAGCAGAGUGCUCAUCUUGGGAUGGCUCGUGUCUCACUACCUCAUCCUUGUGACAAGAAGGUGGAUUUCUCAGCCGCUUCCUUCCCCAGCAGAUCCUGUCCAUAUAUCAGAUGACUCUACACUAACGCUCAACUUCAAACAUGGAGUAAGUGACCAUUGUCAGCAAGCAGGAGUAUAUCGGUUUUUCCUUUCUUCUGGCCUACUUCGAACUGUGGCAUCCAAGCCCCAAACGCCAGUGCGUUCAACAAGCAGCCGCCACAGCACGUCCCCUACGGAAGGUUAGGAAGACUGUGCUGGAGGCACUUCACCUGGAAAUGUCUGAACAUAAUGGACGGGGUUGGGAGGAAGUAGAAGGAAUUCAGGAAGAGUCCACCCAGAGAGGCUGUGAUGAAGUCCAAGAGCAAGUUUAAUGGGGUGACGGAACUGAGAAAGUGGAGCUUGGGGCCAUAAAGCGGAACUUGAGAGGAAAGGCGUGCUCGUAUUUUCUGAGUUUUGCAUUUCACGGAAAUUUUAUGGGUUUAGCAAACACAUAUCUAUGCUGAAGGUUCCAGUGAAAAUAAAUGCUGACUAUAUAGCCACCUCUUGAGCAAGAAUUGACUGGACAUCAUUAAGGUGGGGAGCAUUACCGUAAGUACUAUAUUCAAGCAGUGGAGCUGAAAGUCUGAAGUUUUCAUUCAGAAAAUAAUUAACUUAAAGAGAUAGCAUAGCAAACAGCCC
ensembl:lncRNA